rnacentral:rRNA from 1 species
AGUGAACGCUGGCGGUAGGCCUAACACAUGCAAGUCGAACGGCAGCACAGGAGAGCUUGCUCUCUGGGUGGCGAGUGGCGGACGGGUGAGGAAUACAUCGGAAUCUACUCUGUUGUGGGGGAUAACGUAGGGAAACUUACGCUAAUACCGCAUACGACCUACGGGUGAAAGCAGGGGACCUUCGGGCCUUGCGCGAUUGUAUGAGCCGAUGGCGGAUUAGCUAGUUGGCGGGGUAAAGGCCCAGCAAGGCGACGAUCCGUAGCGGGUCUGAGGGGAUGAGCAGCCACACUGGAACUGAGACACGGUCAAGACUCCUACGGGAGGCAGCAGUGGGGAAUAUUGGACAAUGGGCGCAAGCCUGAUCCAGCCAUACCGCGUGGGUGAAGAAGGCCUUCGGGUUGUAAAGCCCUUUUGUUGGGAAAGAAAUCCAGCUGGCUAAUACCCGGUUGGGAUGACGGUACCCAAAGAAUAAGCACCGGCUAACUUCGUGCCAGCAGCCGCCGUAA